AGGACUCAGCAGGACUCAGCAGGUCUCAGCAGGUCUCAGGUGGUCUCAGGAGGUCUCAGCAGGACUCAGGAGGUCUCAGCUUAAACCUGACAGGAGAUCUAACAAAAACAGUUUCUGGGUUCAGAUGAAGAGAAAAGUCUUCAGUCGGUUCUGUUUCUGUCUCUGCAGGUGAGUUCUGGACUCAGCUGUUUGAUGGACAGGACCAGUACCUGCCCCCCCCUCUGGACCUCCACGUGUCUGUGGUCGUCACAGAUCCUGAGAACAGGCUGGUGCUGUCCCUGCAGGACAGACCCAACAGAACGUUCAGCUUCAUGUCCUCUGCCUCAGGAGAACAUCGGGUCUGUCUGCAGCCGGG